CUAAAGCGCUCACUAUCUUUCUCCUGUUGAGAGGGCGAAGUGAAGAAGGAGGAGACUUUGGUAAGAAUAAAGAAAGAAAGAAAGAAAGAAAGAAAAGAAAAGAAAAAAGAAGUAAAGAAGUAAGAGAGAGAGAGAGGGAGAAAAGUAUAUAACUAUAUAUGGCCUCGUCAAUAAAACAAUGCAUAAGGGUUUCUGCAGAUGCAACCACAACAAACACAGAUUAGCAUUGAUCUCCCAAGACCCACGAGGACUCUGGAUGACUUCAAAAUAGAAUUGUUUGUUCUCAGGUCGAACGAUUACGCUGAAGCUCGCUGAUAUAAAGCCUGGAAUAUGUUUGAAGAAGAGAACUGUUUUCAGCUGACACCGUUUAAUUAUGGCCGCAUCCAUGCUAUCUCACAGAGAUUGUGUUACUUAGUUUCGUUUAUAAUUUAAAUUAAAACCAAUAAACUACUGAAGGAAUGUUUCAGUGAACAUGCUUAAGAUAUAGAAAGAUUGCUAUCACCAAAGAAAACAUAUUUAUUCGUCUCACAUCAUUUAAAUUUCGAUUUCGGUGAAGGUAGGUCUGAAAAUUAUGUUUUCCAUGAAGUUUACGAAAUUGUGUGUUUUAACAGUUUUGAGGCCAAAAAUGUUACAUUAUAUUUAAAAUUAAAAAUGGACACAACUGGAACGCCUUCGAAUAUGGGUAUACUCGCCCAGAACUGGAAAAGGACAAAGCAACGAUGUUUCAAAAUACAUUGCUCUCACAAUUCUUGAGAUGUUGAUAACUUCCAGUUGGAUUAAGAAUAUGACUAUUAGACACACACACACUACAACGACCACCACCUUCACACAACCAUCACACGUUUUAAGUAAUCCAGUUAAAGUUAGCUUUUGGGAUACAGUUUUAAUUCCUGGUUGAGUCUAUCCGCCGCAUGUUUUCUUCAAACCGAA